UAGAAAAUAAUCAUCCAUUUAUUGGACAAUAGAUUCCAUUAACCAAACUGUUCUGAAAGGAUAAUGACAAUUUUGCCAUUAUAAUUUCCUUCAGGCCACUCUUUUAUUCAAUAAAACAAUUAUUCCAAUCAUUCAUUAUAUUCCAAAGUCUUUUGAAACCAUACAAUAACUUUGACAUAAAAAAAUAAAUAAAAAUUGUAUGUUUAUGAAAUGUGUAUAAACCUCUUGAUUAUAAGUUAUAUACAAACCAUGUGGACCUUUGAUGGACAUCACUGUAACCUCUGGCACUCUGGAGGAAAUUCAUCUACCUCACUUCAUCUGUGUAGAUUCUGUAUCUUCAUCAGAUGAUGCAGUGAAAGCUCUUCAUGUAAACGGCAGUGAAGCUUCAUUGGAGAGAUGUGAACUAACCAGAUUCCACGCCAAGCUUCUCAAUCCCACCUUCUCACUCUUAGGAGUUAUUGCACAUUUGCAUCAGUACUUCACCAUGAAAUUUCACUGUGAAACUUUGAUUUAUCGCAACAAAAUUGCUGCCCUUAACCUUCAUGUGUACCUGAUUUUACAGGAUGAAAAACUUAAGAAGGUAAAAUCUAAUGAUAAACUUUAUGAGAGGCUAUGUAACUGA
rnacentral:lncRNA from 1 species